GACGAACGCUGGCGGCGUGCUUAACACAUGCAAGUCGAACGGAAAGGCCCCUUUGGGGGUACUCGAGUGGCGAACGGGUGAGUAACACGUGAGUAACCUGCCCUUGACUUCGGGAUAACUUCAGGAAACUGGGGCUAAUACCGGAUAGGAAUCCUUGCUGCAUGGGGGGGGUUGGAAAGCUUCGGCGGUUUUGGAUGGACUCGCGGCUUAUCAGCUUGUUGGUGGGGUAGUGGCUUACCAAGGCUUUGACGGGUAGCCGGCCUGAGAGGGCGACCGGCCACAUUGGGACUGAGAUACGGCCCAGACUCUUACGGGAGGCAGCAGUGGGGAAGAUUGCACAAGGGGCGGAAGCCUGAUGCAGCAACGCCGCGGGCGGGAUGACGGCCUUCGGGUUGUAAACCGCUUUCAGCAGGGGCGAAGCUUGUGGUGACGGUACCUGCAGAAGAAGCACCGGCUAACUACGUG
rnacentral:rRNA from 1 species